UACAGAGGUCUCAAGCGUUGUUCGGAUUCAUUGGGCGUAAAGGGUGUGUAGGUGGCGCGCUAAGUCGGGUGUGAAAUUUCGGAGCUUAACUCCGAAACUGCAUUCGAUACUGGCGUGCUUGAGGACUGGAGAGGAGACUGGAAUUCAUGGUGUAGCAGUGAAAUGCGUAGAGAUCAUGAGGAAGACCAGUGGCGAAGGCGGGUCUCUGGACAGUUCCUGACACUGAGACCCGAAGGCCAGGGGAGCAAACGGG
rnacentral:rRNA from 1 species